rnacentral:lncRNA from 1 species
AACGAUCGCAGAAGAAUUGAAACGCUCAAGUUAAGUCGGCACCUGGUUAAAUUGGCAUCUAGUCAAAUCGGCACCUAUUUGACGUCAAUUCGGCAUCCAAUAAUAUUUGUUAUAAUAUUUUCUAUUCAAUUAAUUAAUAACUGUUACCAAGUACAUAGUGAAUAUGUUGUUGUGUAUUUAGGUAAAUAAGGAAACCAAAGUGAAUAUGUUGUUGUGUAUAAAGGUAAACAACGAAUCCCUUACCCAACUGUUGUUUUAACAAUUAGACAAUUAUUAAAAUAAAAUGGAAAACUAUGAGUCCCUUUCAAUAAAUCAAACUUUCAUGCCAAAUAAUUAGCAAAUUUAAGGUGUUUUUUCAGUAAAAUUUAAACAGCAUUAAACCAACAAUCCUGUAAAAUGCUCAACUGGUUAAAAUAAUGCAUAAAAAUAUCCAAUAUCUCAUGUAUUAGUCCAAAUAAUUAUGACGUCUGGGUAGGAUAUUUUUUUUUUCUGGGUGUCCCAGAAAAAAAUUAACAUAGCCUUGCGGUCAUAGGAAGGUGUCCCAGAAUGAAAUAAAAAAAAGCCUUGCCAGACGUAAUAAUUAUUUGGACUACUCAUAUAUACAUUAUAUAUCAUUAAAAAUACACCAAAAAAGUCAUUUAGUUGAGAAAAAUAAAUAUAUACAAAAUGUACAUGAACACCCAAAAAUGUGAAAGUUAGUAUUUAACUCUUUUUGCUUAAAUACUGAAAAAAAUUCUGGCAACCCCUUUCUUAUUUUUACUCUUUUGCUUAAAAUACUGUUAAAAAUAUAUAUUUAACAUGGGUGACGAAUUGACUAUAUCAGGUGUCGAUUUAACCAGGUGCUGAUUUGUCCAGGUGCCAAUUUAACCAGGUACCGGUUUGACUAGAAUUCUUUGACAAAUGUUUGAAAUUACCUGAGUUUCAUUAGACCUUUGAUAACAGUAACAAAAAGAUUAUUUACUUAAUAUUUUGUGGGAGAAGGGGGUUCAGACUGUGGUAUCAGGUCUGUUCGCGCCCAAUACACUUUCGCACCCUACAUGUUCGCAGCUCGCACGUUCGCACCCAAGGUCCGUUCGCACUCUACUCAUUCGCGCCCAAUUUUAAUUCAAAUUCAAGUUGAAUAAUUGGAAAAUCAUGAUUGUUGUUUUUUUAAAUUGCUUUGGUGUAAAUACUGAAUGUAUUUAUAGCUUGGUAUGAGUAAAACAUUGAAGAUUUUAAAGGAAAAACACAAAAGAUAAUUGUUUUUAACAGCUUGGUCCCUUUGAUCUGAAACAACGAAGCAAUAAAAUAUAGGAACUAAAAUAUAGCAAUCCACUAUUAUAACCAAAACAUGAUAAAAUUUAUUCAACACACAGAAAAAAAACAUAGUCAGAAUCUCACUUCAUUUUGAAACAAGUCAAUGAAACAAAGUUAUAGCAAUACACUAACCGAAACAUGAUUAAGAGUUAUUCAACACAAAAUAAAACGUUGACAAAAUACCACUUUAUUAAGAAAGGAUUGUUAUUAUUUUUAACAAUACCCUAUCCAAAACAUGAUUAAGAUUUAUUCAACACUUUAUUUUGAGACAAUGACAACAAUUAUACUUAUAAGAAAACACUUGCUUACAGAGUUAUUGAACACAAAACCAAUUAAGAUUGGGUGCGAACAUGUAGGGUGUGAAAGUGAAAGGGGGCGAACAUGAGUGGGCGCAAACGUGAAUGGGCGCGAACGGACACGGAUUCAGACUAUGUACCAGUGAGAAAUAUACAAGCCUUUCUACGGUAUUUAUUUGUACAAUUCAGGUAGUCUUGACCUAUUCAUUUGUCUUAAAAAAAACCACAGCCAGUUGUCACCUUCACUUCACACACACACAUAUACAAAUAUCAAUUAUAUGCUUACGAGACAUGUUGCAUUGUUAAACUAAUUAAGGUAUGUGAAAAUCAAGACUUGCAUAAAAACUAUCCCAAUAUUAAAGACAGUGGCGUCAUUUUUCCUCAGAGCUUUCAGCUCUUUGAUUUUUUCUGUACAAACUUUUUUUUCGCCUGCGGCGAAAAACAAUCUAUUUUUUUUGCGACAAGUCGAAAACAAUUUUUUUCUUUCAAUUUUAGCAUUACAUAUAG